rnacentral:lncRNA from 1 species
GGUGUAACCGGAUUCCUUUGAUUUCUUAAGUUCAAGCGGGUCGCGUAAGGUUCCCUUAACAUUAACGCGGGCCGCGAGAGGUUAAAAAGGUGGCGCAGCCCGGUGCGGCCACGUGGCCCAACACCCGGCUAAGCUAGUUGUCGACUCAGCACAGCUACGUGUUGACCCAGCUUUGACGCAGGCCGCGUAAGCUUUGUGCUUAUAUUACGCGGGCCGCGAGAGACCCCGAUUCAGGCACUAUAUAAAGGAGGCAUCGGCUGUCCAUUUCAAUUCGUUCAUUCUUCGAUUCUUUCUCUCAAAUUCUGAUAUAGGCUUUAUUAAGCGGGUAUUAUACCCCCCUAAUUAGCGAAGCUCUGCCUCGCUGUAAGUAUCAUAACCCCUGGAUACGUAUUAGAUACUCUGCCCGAUUGAUCUAGGGUUCCGUAACGGCUGUCGUGGUUCUGCCCGACGUAGUCGUUGGAAUGCCGUCUCGGGGAUGAUUAUAACCAGGGAAUUACAAAGGAAAGCCCUAUAAUAGCAAAGUAACUUAGUGUGAAGCCAAUAAAAGCCAGCUGGAGAGCACUGAAG